CGUAGGUGGCAAGCGUUGUCCGGAAUUACUGGGUGUAAAGGGAGCGUAGGCGGGAACGCAAGUUGAAUGUGAAAUUUACGGGCUCAACUCGUAAACUGCGUUCAAAACUGUGUUUCUUGAGUUAAGUAGAGGCAGGCGGAAUUCCCUGUGUAGCGGUGAAAUGCGCAGAUAUAGGGAGGAACACCAGUGGCGAAGGCGGCCUGCUGGGCUUUUACUGACGCUGAGGCUCGAAAGCGUGGGUAGCAAACAGGAUUAGAUACCCUGGUAGUCCACGCUGUAAACGAUGAUUACUAGGUGUGGGGGGACAGACCCCUCCGUGCCGGAGUUAACACAAUAAGUAAUCCACCUGGGGAGUACGACCGCAAGGUUG
rnacentral:rRNA from 1 species